rnacentral:rRNA from 1 species
AUGGGGCGGCUGCGCGCGUGCCGCCACCAUCUCCGCCGCCUCCUCGAGACGAGGCCGCCACCAACGAUCCCCACUCCGGCGCGCCUGCCGCACCUCCCCGCCCGCGUGUCUCCCUUUUCCUCGGCAGUGGCGGUCGCUGCGACCGCGUCCCAUGACGCCCGCGACUCCGGCCUCGGGAGCUCGGCCUACUGGGCCUGGAUCCGGGCGGCGGCAGAGGCGGCCCCGGCCCCCGCGCCCCCACAGGAGGAGGAGGAGGAAGGCCUGUCGCGCUACAUCCCCGUCAAGGCCUACUUCCUCUCCACCAGCAUUGAUUUGAAGAGCCUUCAGGCGGAGCACGGGAGCGACGUGGUGCCUCCAUCCACCCGGUCGCUAAACUACAUCGCGCUCCGCUACUCUGAAUUCCCUCCAGAGAUCAUGUCCAUUGGAGUGAAGGACAACAGAUUUUGCUAUCGCUAUGUGGUUGUAUUCCAAUAUGGUUCUGCUGUGCUCUUCAAUAUUGCUGAUCAUGAAGCUGAGCACUAUCUUGAUAUGAUCAGGAAUCAUGCUUCGGGAUGGCUUCCGGAGAUGAGGAAAGACGAUUAUGCAGUAGUUGAGAAGCCAUUCCUGACAACAUGGAUGAAAGGAGGUCUUGAUUAUAUAGUUCUUAAAUAUUUAGACACUGAUGGAAUUCGGAUCAUUUCAAGUGUUCUUGGUCAAAGUAUCGCUCUUGAUCAUUACAUACGGCAGGUUGAUGAUAUGGUUGAGGAAUUUACUGAAAUCAAUCGUAUCAUGGAGAAGACUGGGGACUUCACAAUGAAAAGAAAGAAGCUCUUUCAACUUGUGGGCAAGGCUAAUUCUAAUCUCGCAGAUGUUAUCAUUAGACUUGGCCUUUUUGACAGGUCAGAAAUUGCUUGGAAAAAUGCAAAUUAUGCACAAAUUCUGGAGUAUCUUCGGGAAGAAUAUGAACUGAAUCAACGUUUUGGAAGCCUAGACUUCAAACUGAAAUUCGUGGAGCACAAUGUUCAUUUUCUUCAAGAAGUGCUCCAAAAUAGACGAUCGAAUUUUCUGGAGUGGGGUGUCAUAAUUCUGCUGGCUAUUGAGAUUGUGAUCUCACUAUACGAAAUUAUCAAGGAUUCCAGCAUGAUGUCUUGA